UACGUAGGGUGCGAGCGUUAAUCGGAAUUACUGGGCGUAAAGCGUGCGCAGGCGGUCGUGCAAGUCGCGUGUGAAAGCCCCCGGCUCAACUGGGGAGGGUCACACGAUACUGCUCGACUCGAAGGCAGGAGAGGGAAGUGGAAUUCCCGGUGUAGUGGUGAAAUGCGUAGAUAUCGGGAGGAACACCAGUGGCGAAGGCGACUUCCUGGCCUGUUCUUGACGCUGAGGCGCGAAAGCUAGGGUAGCAAACGGG
rnacentral:rRNA from 1 species